UUAAGCGACUAAGCGUACACGGUGGAUGCCCUGGCAGUCAGAGGCGAUGAAGGACGUGCUAAUCUGCGAAAAGCGUCGGUAAGGUGAUAUGAACCGUUAUAACCGGCGAUGUCCGAAUGGGGAAACCCAGUGCAAUUCGUUGCACUAUCGUUAACUGAAUACAUAGGUUAACGAGGCGAACCGGGGGAACUGAAACAUCUAAGUACCCCGAGGAAAAGAAAUCAACCGAGAUUCCCCCAGUAGCGGCGAGCGAACGGGGAGCAGCCCAGAGUCUGAAUCAGCUUGUGUGUUAGUGGAACGGUCUGGAAAGUCCGACGGUACAGGGUGAUAGUCCCGUACACCAAAAUGCACAGGUUGUGAACUCGAAGAGUAGGGCGGGACACGUGGUAUCCUGUCUGAAUAUGGGGGGACCAUCCUCCAAGGCUAAAUACUCCUGACUGACCGAUAGUGAACCAGUACCGUGAGGGAAAGGCGAAAAGAACCCCGGCGAGGGGAGUGAAAAAGAACCUGAAACCGUGUACGUACAAGCAGUGGGAGCACCUUCGGGUGUGACUGCGUACCUUUUGUAUAAUGGGUCAGCGACUUAUAUUCUGUAGCAAGGUUAACCGUAUAGGGGAGCCGCAGGGAAACCGAGUCUUAACUGGGCGUUAAGUUGCAGGGUAUAGACCCGAAACCCGGUGAUCUAGCCAUGGGCAGGUUGAAGGUUGGGUAACACUAACUGGAGGACCGAACCGACUAAUGUUGAAAAAUUAGCGGAUGACUUGUGGCUGGGGGUGAAAGGCCAAUCAAACCGGGAGAUAGCUGGUUCUCCCCGAAAGCUAUUUAGGUAGCGCCUCGUGAACUCAUCUUCGGGGGUAGAGCACUGUUUCGGCUAGGGGGUCAUCCCGACUUACCAACCCGAUGCAAACUACGAAUACCGAAGAAUGUUAUCACGGGAGACACACGGCGGGUGCUAACGUCCGUCGUGAAGAGGGAAACAACCCAGACCGCCAGCUAAGGUCCCAAAGUCAUGGUUAAGUGGGAAACGAUGUGGGAAGGCACAGACAGCCAGGAUGUUGGCUUAGAAGCAGCCAUCAUUUAAAGAAAGCGUAAUAGCUCACUGGUCGAGUCGGCCUGCGCGGAAGAUGUAACGGGGCUAAACCAUGCACCGAAGCUGCGGCAGCGACACUAUGUGUUGUUGGGUAGGGGAGCGUUCUGUAAGCCUGCGAAGGUGUGCUGUGAGGCAUGCUGGAGGUAUCAGAAGUGCGAAUGCUGACAUAAGUAACGAUAAAGCGGGUGAAAAGCCCGCUCGCCGGAAGACCAAGGGUUCCUGUCCAACGUUAAUCGGGGCAGGGUGAGUCGACCCCUAAGGCGAGGCCGAAAGGCGUAGUCGAUGGGAAACAGGUUAAUAUUCCUGUACUUGGUGUUACUGCGAAGGGGGGACGGAGAAGGCUAUGUUAGCCGGGCGACGGUUGUCCCGGUUUAAGCAUGUAGGCUGGUUAUCCAGGCAAAUCCGGAUAAUCAAGGCUGAGGUGUGAUGACGAGGCACUACGGUGCUGAAGUAACAAAUGCCCUGCUUCCAGGAAAAGCCUCUAAGCAUCAGGUAACAUCAAAUCGUACCCCAAACCGACACAGGUGGUCAGGUAGAGAAUACCAAGGCGCUUGAGAGAACUCGGGUGAAGGAACUAGGCAAAAUGGUGCCGUAACUUCGGGAGAAGGCACGCUGGUGUGUAGGUGAAGCCCCUGCGGGUGGAGCUGAGACCAGUCGAAGAUACCAGCUGGCUGCAACUGUUUAUUAAAAACACAGCACUGUGCAAACACGAAAGUGGACGUAUACGGUGUGACGCCUGCCCGGUGCCGGAAGGUUAAUUGAUGGGGUUAUCCGUAAGGAGAAGCUCUUGAUCGAAGCCCCGGUAAACGGCGGCCGUAACUAUAACGGUCCUAAGGUAGCGAAAUUCCUUGUCGGGUAAGUUCCGACCUGCACGAAUGGCGUAAUGAUGGCCAGGCUGUCUCCACCCGAGACUCAGUGAAAUUGAACUCGCUGUGAAGAUGCAGUGUACCCGCGGCAAGACGGAAAGACCCCGUGAACCUUUACUAUAGCUUGACACUGAACAUUGAGCCUUGAUGUGUAGGAUAGGUGGGAGGCUUUGAAGCGUGGACGCCAGUCUGCGUGGAGCCAACCUUGAAAUACCACCCUUUAAUGUUUGAUGUUCUAACGUUGGCCCCU
rnacentral:rRNA from 1 species